rnacentral:siRNA from 1 species
AUAAUCGACGUGAUGGUGGACGCA